rnacentral:rRNA from 1 species
GAUGAACGCUGGCUACAGGCUUAACACAUGCAAGUCGAGGGGAAACGACGGGGAAGCUUGCUUCCCCGGGCGUCGACCGGCGCACGGGUGAGUAACGCGUAUCCAACCUGCCUCUGACUGAGGGAUAACCCGUCGAAAGUCGGCCUAAUACCUCAUGGCAUCGUCUGCGGGCAUCCAACGACGAUUAAAGAUUUCAUCGGUCAGGGAUGGGGAUGCGUCUGAUUAGCUUGUUGGCGGGGUAACGGCCCACCAAGGCUACGAUCAGUAGGGGUUCUGAGAGGAAGGUCCCCCACAUUGGAACUGAGACACGGUCCAAACUCCUACGGGAGGCAGCAGUGAGGAAUAUUGGUCAAUGGGCGGGAGCCUGAACCAGCCAAGUAGCGUGCAGGAUGACGGCCCUAUGGGUUGUAAACUGCUUUUAUGCGGGGAUAAAGUGAGGGACGUGUCCUUCAUUGCAGGUACCGCAUGAAUAAGGACCGGCUAACUCCGUG